UGGUGCCAAUGUGGAUGGAUACAGGUAGAAUUAGUUAUCUACUUUAGUUUAUGGAAUAUGCCAUUCUUUAAUUGUAAUUAUUCAUUUUUUGUGGAUUUUGCCUAUUGAUCAUGAAGUACUAUAUUAAUUUUUUAAUAGUGUAGUUGGAAUGAGAUCAGUGAUAGAUCACAUUAAUUUUGGGAUGGUUAAUGUGCAGCCCUAUCUACAACACAGAAGACUGCUGUCCAAGUGGUGAUGUUUAUGAUGGGGGUGAUUUGAAUACUAAAAAUUUAAUUUGAUAUCGCAAAUGAUUUAUUUUUAUUAUUUUUCCCCAAUUUGUGAGAUGAAUAAAUAUUGGGAUUGAAAUUUGCAGGAACAGGGUUGGCAAUAUGGGCAGUGACACUA
rnacentral:misc_RNA from 1 species